rnacentral:snRNA from 12 species
AGCUUUGCGCAGUGGCAGUAUCGUAGCCAAUGAGGUUUAUCCGAGGCGCGAUUAUUGCUAAUUGAAAAAAGAAUGUCAUAGAUUAUU